AGCAACAAGUUCCAGACUGCACCGAUGCUGAUUGUUUUGCCCUGUAGAAACAGACCUUGUUUCUGUCACAGCUUAAAUUCAUCUUUACUGAAGAUGGAGAUUCAGAAAGGUUUUUAAAUAACCCAGAUUCCUCUCUUGAUCUGUAUAGUGGUACAUUGUGACCACAUUCUUUGAAGAUCAGUUGUUCCAGUGUUCCAAUCAACUUUUUACACAAAGGGUUGUUUGUCAUGACGAAGGGAAGCAACAAUCAGUCAGUGUCCAAGAAAUCUGGUUGUGCUU